rnacentral:rRNA from 1 species
AGAGCGAACGCUGGCGGCAGGCCUAAUACAUGCAAGUCGAACGGACCCUUCGGGGUUAGUGGCGGACGGGUGAGUAACGCGUAGGUAUCUAUCCUUGGGUGGGGGACAACUGUGGGAAACUACAGCUAAUACCGCAUGAUAACUGAGGUUUAAAGGCGCAAGUCGCCUGGGGAGGAGCCUGCGUACGAUUAGCUUGUUGGUGGGGUAAAGGCCUACCAAGGCGACGAUCGUUAGCUGGUCUGAGAGGAUGAUCAGCCACAUUGGGACUGAGACACGGCCCAAACUCCUACGGGAGGCAGCAGUGGGGAAUAUUGGACAAUGGGCGCAAGCCUGAUCCAGCAAUGCCGCGUGUGUGAAGAAGGUCUUCGGAUUGUAAAGCACUUUCGACGGGGACGAUGAUGACGGUACCCGUAGAAGAAGCCCGGCUAACUUCGCGCCAGCAGCCGC